CUCGUGUCGUGAGAUGUUGGGUUAAGUCCCGCAACGAGCGCAACCCUUGUUCUGUGUUACCAGCGGAUAAUGCCGGGGACUCACAGAAGACUGCCUCUUUUUUGAGGAGGAAGGUGAGGAUGACGUCAAGUCCUCAUGGCCCUUACGUCCAGGGCUACACACGUGCUACAAUGGCCGGUACAGAGGGUCGCAAUGCCGCAAGGUGGAGCUAAUCUCAAAAAGCCGGUCUCAGUUCGGAUUGGAGUCUGCAAUUCGACUCCAUGAAGUUGGAAUCGCUAGUAAUCGCGGAUCAGAUACGCCGCGGUGAAUACGUUAUCGGGCCUUGUACACACCGCCCGUCAAGCCAUGAAAGCCGGGAGUACUCAAAAUGGUUGCCUGAACCGUAAGGAGGGCGCCCCUAAAGUAAAACCGGUGAUUGGGGCUAAGUCGUAACAAGGUAGCCGUACCGGAAGGUGCGGCUGGAUCACCUCCUUU
rnacentral:ncRNA from 1 species